AAGACAUGUUUUGGCCCCUGAACUUGACAGCAAAACUCACUUUAGCAACUAAACUUAAGUUGUAUUUAUUUACCCCCUUAACAACUUUCAAGUUAAUUAAAUACCCCCUUAACGGGUGACGUGGCAAAAAAGUGUACUCAAUUUCUUAAAAGCGCGUGGGAUGAAAAAAAAACACUAAAACUGAUCCCAACUGUACAGAUGUCAUCUUCUAAUUGGAUGAUAUAUUAAGAUUUUCUUAAUAUUUUAUUUUCCAUUUUAAAUUAACUUUUUUCUUUUCUUUCUUUUUCUUUUCCUUUUUCUUUUCUUUCUUAUUUUUUUCCCUUUCCCUUUCUUUUCUAUCCUCUCGCUUCUGCUCUCAAUCCGCAUCUUCUUUCUUCUUCUUUUAAUUUUUUUUCCUUUCUUUUUCUAGAUAAAUUGAAGAGAGCAGAUAUGCUUGAAAUGAUAAAUUGAAGAGAGUAGAUAUUCUUUUUCUAGAUAUGCUUGUUGUUCAAACCCAAUUUAAACAAUACCCACUUAUCUAAAUCACUUAUUUCUCCACUUUUUGUUACAAUUUCGUCCUUUGAAGCUUCAUAUCUUCAGUUACAAAGCACACAAAGCAAAAAACUCACUUGAAUUGCUGUGGGGAAUAAGGAGAUGGGGGCAGCAACAACAGCUGAAACGAUGGGGAAUAAGGAGAGGGAGAGGAGAGGUGAGUGGGGGCGGAGGGAUGGGGGCAGCAGCAACAGCACAAAAAUGAAGAAUUCUUGGUAUACUUUAUUUCGUGGUAUUCUUUGACAGUGUCAAUUUAUUUUAUACAAAAUUAUUAUAUUUAUAGUCGUUAAUUUAUUAAUUUAUUUCUCUCCAACAUUUAAUCCAUGGAAGAAGAAUAGGGUGGGUUAGUGAUGAAUUGUGCUAUGAAUUAGGGAACGGGUGGAGUUUUGUUAAUUUUAUACAAUUAUUUUUUUUUUUUUUUUUUUUUGGUUUGGGAUGGUGUUGAAGAAAUGAAUGUAUUUCAAUUUGGUGUUGAUUCUGGGUGUUGCUCAUACGUGAAUGUUGUUGAAGAAAGAAGAAGAUAGCAGCAACGAGUUGGGGGAAAGGGGAGAGGGAGCGGGGGUUGGGGGUUAGAAGGAGAAGGGAUGAAGAAGAAAGAGAAAAAUUAAAUAAAUAAAAAUAAUUUAAAAAAUAUUUAAUGACGUGGACCAAUCACCAGGCGAGUGGUGAACAACACCAAGAUCUCAUCUGGUCCAGGCCGUUAAGGGGGCUAUUUAAUUAACUUGAAAGUUGUUAAGGAGGUAAAUAAAUACAACUUAAGUUUAGUUGCUAAAGUGAGUUUUGCUACCAAGUUCAGGGGCCAAAACAUGUCUUUCUGUAUGUAUAUAACACCUAGUGAUCCUAUAUUAUGGUUAUGAUUUUCUGUUA